rnacentral:snoRNA from 1 species
GCAGGAAUAAUUACCGCCGGGGUCUUAUCAGUGGCGUCAGCGGCAGUCUCCUUUGCGAAACCAAGGCUACCUUUGGUAGCCGUAGAGGAUAGUCAGGCCAACGGGCGCGUAACCCCCCGCCCCCACGCCGUUACAACCUCGGCACAGCU